UCUCUGUCACGUUCCCUUCUUCCCGUUCCUUUAACCAUUUCCUCUCUGCAGGCUUUCUUCAGUUUCACAUUUUCACCAACUGUAUAUUCUAUCGGCAUGCAGGCGUGGCGUGGCGUGGCAUGUGGGUCGAAAGCUGUUGUUCAGGAUCAUUUCCUAAUACUCACAUCGGAGAGAAGCACUCUUUGAGUUCCUGAAGGCAGUGAAACUUCCAAGAUGUCCUGCCUGUGGUUGUGUUUAAGUCUGCUUUUCACUGCUACUUUUCGACAAAGUGGAGCCGCAUCAGAUCCAAAAUUGUCCCUGAAUUGCAACGAAACAGUGGAAGUCGUAGCUGGAAAUACGGUGACACUAAACUGCACUAUAAAAUCUUCCACGACAGAGAACUGUAAGGGUUUAAACUAUAUCUGGAAUAACACACCAGGCAACAACCCUUGCAACAGUGACUUGAACGACUGCGAAUGGGAUAAUGUGACUUAUGUGUCGUUGACCAUCUCAAAUGUCACGCAUGAGGAAAAUUACACAGUUAAAAUACAUACAGACUGUGGUAUGGCUAAAUCAUCUAUCAGAGUACAAGUUAUCCCUAAUGGUGGACCCAUUGAUCUGCCCACCUAUGGGACAGCCUCCUAUAUGACAACCGCCUAUGUGACAGCCAUUUUUGUCACCCUCAUUGUUUUGGCCGUUUGGAACUGACAGAGGCAGAAAAAUAAGGAAACCGAAAAAUCGGGGAGGAAAAAACACAAAAGACAACAGUGACAUGAACACUGAAGUCCCACUGACUGUCUGACAAAUUCAGAAAUUUGUGUUUCAGCAUCUGUGUGUGUGUGUACUACCAUAUUUUUCAGAAUUCUUUGAGGUCUUUGUACAGAUUGAUCCAUGUAUAUACAAUGAUUUGAUUUGAUUAAAGCAGGGCCAAAGUUGGCCCGCCAUCAGGUUUGAUUUGGCCCGCCA